CCUACGGGCGGCAGCAGUGGGGAAUAUUGCGCAAUGGGCGAAAGCCUGACGCAGCGACGCCGCGUGAGGGAUGAAGGUCUUCGGAUCGUAAACCUCUGUCAGCAGGGAAGAACGGUCACUGUGCUAAUCAGCAGUGAAUUGACGGUACCUGCAAAGGAAGCACCGGCUAACUCCGUGCCAGCAGCCGCGGUAAUACGGAGGGUGCGAGCGUUAAUCGGAAUUACUGGGCGUAAAGCGCUCGUAGGCGGUAUGUCAAGUCAAGGGUGAAAUCCCCGCGCUCAACGUGGGAACUGCCUUUGAAACUGGCAGACUGGAGUGUGUGAGAGGAUAGUGGAAUUCGAGGUGUAGGAGUGAAAUCCGUAGAUAUCUGGAGGAACAUCAGUGGCGAAGGCGACUAUCUGGCACAUAACUGACGCUGAGGAGCGAAAGCGUGGGUAGCAAACAGGAUUAGAUACCCUAGUAGUC
rnacentral:rRNA from 1 species